UGAUGCGAUCAUACCAGCACUAAUGCACCGGAUCCCAUCAGAACUCCACAAUUAAGCGUGUUUGGGCGAAAGUAGUACUAGGAUGGGUGACCUCUUGGGAAGUUCCCGUGUUGGACCUU
rfam:Cicer arietinum chromosome Ca3, whole genome shotgun sequence.